GUCCACGCUGUAAACGAUGGAUACUAGACGUGGCGGGUCUUGACCCCUGCCGUGUCGACGUUAACACAAUAAGUAUCCCGCCUGGGGAGUACGGUCGCAAGACUAAAACUCAAAGGAAUUGACGGGGGCCCGCACAAGCGGUGGAUCAUGUGGUUUAAUUCGAAGCAACGCGAAGAACCUUACCUGGAUUUGACAUCUGCUUAAGUUAGUAGAGAUAUUAACGGCCCGCAAGGGACAGCAAGACAGGUGCUGCAUGGCUGUCGU
rnacentral:rRNA from 1 species